AGAUUGAACGCUGGCGGCAUGCCUUACACAUGCAAGUCGAACGGCAGCACGGGAGCAAUCCUGGUGGCGAGUGGCGAACGGGUGGUAAUACAUCGGAACGUGCCCAAUCGUGGGGGAUAACGCAGCGAAAGCUGUGCUAAUACCGCAUAAGAUCUACGGAUGAAAGCAGGGGAUCGCAAGACCUUGCGCGAAACGGAGCGGCCGAUGGCAGAUUAGGUAGUUGGUGAGGUAAAGGCUCACCAAGCCUUCGAUCUGUAGCUGGUCUGAGAGGACGACCAGCCACG
rnacentral:rRNA from 1 species